AUUGAACGCUAGCGGCAGGCCUAACACAUGCAAGUCGAACGAGUGGCGGACGGGUGAGUAAUGUCUCGGAAACUGCCUAAUAGAGGGGGAUAACUACUGGAAACGGUGGCUAAUACCGCAUACCAUCAGAUGUGCCCAUAUGGGAUUAGCUAGUUGGUGGGGUAACGGCUCACCAAGGCUACGAUCCCUAGCUGGUCUGAGAGGAUGACCAGCCACACUGUAACUGAGACACGGUCCAGACUCCUACGGGAGGCAGCAGUGGGGAAUAUUGCACAAUGGGGGCAAGCCUGAUGCAGCCAUGCCGCGUGUAUGAAGAAGGCCUUCGGGUUGUAAAGUACUUUCGGCGGGGAGGCGUUAUCCGCAGAAUAAGCACCGGCUAACUCCGUGCCAGCAGCCGCGGUAAUAC
rnacentral:rRNA from 1 species